AACGAACGCUGGCGGCAGGCCUAACACAUGCAAGUCGAACGGACCUUUCGGGGUCAGCGGCGGACGGGUGAGUAACGCGUGGGAAUAUGCCCUUCUCUACGGAAUAGUCCUGGGAAACUGGGGGUAAUACCGUAUACGCCCUUUGGGGGAAAGAUUUAUCGGGGAAGGAUUAGCCCGCGUUGGAUUAGGUAGUUGGUGGGGUAAUGGCCUACCAAGCCGACGAUCCAUAGCUGGUUUGAGAGGAUGAUCAGCCACACUGGGACUGAGACACGGCCCAGACUCCUACGGGAGGCAGCAGUGGGGAAUCUUAGACAAUGGGGGCAACCCUGAUCUAGCCAUGCCGCGUGAGUGAUGAAGGCCUUAGGGUUGUAAAGCUCUUUCAGCUGGGAAGAUAAUGACGGUACCAGCAGAAGAAGCCCCGGCUAACUCCGUG
rnacentral:rRNA from 1 species